rnacentral:rRNA from 1 species
UACGAAGGGUGCAAGCGUUAAUCGGAAUUACUGGGCGUAAAGCGUGCGCAGGCGGUUUUGUAAGCCAGAUGUGAAAUCCCCGGGCUCAACCUGGGAAUGGCAUUUGGGACUGCAAGGCUGGAGUGCGGCAGAGGAGACUGGAAUUCCUGGUGUAGCAGUGGAAUGCGUAGAUAUCAGGAGGAAUACCGAUGGCGAAGGCAGGUCUCUGGGCUGACACUGACGCUCAUGCACGAAAGCGUGGGGAGCAAACAGG